GAUAUCUGCUGUGAUGUUGCAUGUCAUGUUACUAGGAUGUAUGGAUGACAUCGUCACUGUCCUCGCUGAGGAGCACGGUUGCCUGGAAACCAUCAAGGCCAACCCCGAACAAGCUACACAGGUGUUCGAUGCCGCUUCUCGUCAUCACUAUGCUGUGCACAUCUGUAGCUCCCGGAGGACAUCGCUUAUCUUUACAAAAGAGUGAGUGUUCUGCAGGUCUUCCUCCCAGCAGUUGAAGUUCCCAGUAGCAGGCAUUACAAGAACAGACAUUGUCCUCACUUCGGUAAUUCUCUUGGGAGUUCAUGGUGCCUUGGGAGGACAGAACAGAGGAAGCGCAUGAAAGAAAGAGGACAUAGCACGUGGAGUUGGGGGAGGAACAACGGUUGGCGGGCAAGAUGGCAGCCCAUUGAACUGGGAUGCUUAAGGUUUGUGGGACAAGACGCUAGGCAUCACAGGGGCCAACCAGCAUAACAACAGUGUAGCUCCCCAAAGAGUUACAUAGCGUCUGGCGAUCUUUUAGAACUCUAUUCUGAUCUGAAUACACCAACAACAGUGCAAUUCCAACACCAUAUAUGUAUCUCCAACUCACAAACUCAGCUUCCAAAUGACACUCCCUCAUUGUCACUACCGAGUGUCCCUGAAUGUAUCCGAACAUCACAAUAACGGUGUUAUCAUGCGUGUAUAUGUGAUCUAAGUAAACAAAGACAAACUAAGUGGAUACUCUUGUUUUUGUUAUUCUUAUUAUGAAUUGUUAUUAUUCACUCACUUUGUGACUCUAAAUGCGGUUGCACAAUUUGUUCGGAAAUCCCAGAAAAUAAACAAAAAACAUGCAUUAAACUUAAAUGAC